rnacentral:piRNA from 1 species
UAUUGCCUACCGUGUACCCUCUU